rnacentral:siRNA from 1 species
UCUAACCAUCCUCAGAAACCUA